UACGAAGGGGGCAAGCGUUGUUCGGAUUUACUGGGCGUGAAGGGCGCGCAGGCGGCUCUUCAAGUCAGAUGUGAAAGCCCCGGGCUCAACCUGGGAACUGCAUUUGAGACUGAAGAACUCGAGUUCGGGAGAGGAUGGCGGAAUUCCCAGUGUAGAGGUGAAAUUCGUAGAUAUUGGGAAGAACACCGGUGGCGAAGGCGGCCAUCUGGACCGAGACUGACGCUGAGGCGCGAAAGCGUGGGGAGCAAACAGG
rnacentral:rRNA from 1 species